rnacentral:rRNA from 1 species
UACGUAGGGAGCAAGCGUUGUUCGGAUUUACUGGGCGUAAAGGGCGCGUAGGCGGCCAUCUAAGUCAGACGUGAAAUCCCCCGGCUUAACCUGGGAAUGGCAUUUGGGACUGCAAGGCUCGAGUGCGGCAGAGGAGACUGGAAUUCCUGGUGUAGCAGUGAAAUGCGUAGAUAUCAGGAGGAACACCGAUGGCGAAGGCAGGUCUCUGGGCUGACACUGACGCUCAUGCACGAAAGCGUGGGGAGCAAACAGG